GUUCAGCAUGCUCCUCGGUUGAGCCUCAGUGUAGGUGUCCUGGCCCAUGGGUCAGUUCAGCAUGCUCCUCGGUUGAGCCUCAGUGUAGGUGUGGAGACGAGAGAAAACUCCAGCCGCCUUUCGGCUUGACAGGCUAUUCUCAUGUCAUGAAAAACAACAUUUAGAAAAAGAGGUGGGGCGUGUCCAUGUGACUAAAGUCUACCGUGAUUGGUUGAUUUUAAAAUGAAGAUGUCACACAUAUUACUUUCUAAGCCAGUAACAUUUCAGAAGUUAAUUGAACCAAUUAACUUAGUAUAGAAAUGACCUACAAACACCUUGAUGACCCAGGGCAGGGGAAAAUUCCACUGAACCCUGGAGAAAUGUUGCAACAAGUGCAAAUGGACAAACACAUAGAGAGGUUCCCAAAAUACUAGAUGUUCAGCCAACUACAGUAGAACUCGUGUAAUUCGAAGUCGUAUAACCCGUCACUGUGCACAGCACCUGCCAGAAAGUCCCAAUUUCAUACAACGUUAAUUCCAUUUAACAAUAUGCAUCCAAGUCGUCAUUUAACAUAAGUCGGCACUAAUCUUACAGUCCCAUGUAAGUAAAAUUACACCUGUAACUCGUCACUGCCGGAAAAUGAUUUGGUGGAGGCAGUGAGACUGUAUUGCCGCGUGCAAACUAGAUAGUGCAGUGUGCAAGCAUGUUGCGAAUGGAUACCAGUCGGCCAUUCACCGAAUCCCGCACAGCUAUGACAUGAAGGCCUAAUCUCCUGCCCAUUGUGUGUUAUGUACACAUGACACGAGGUUGUUGUUCUAUAAAGAUGGCAUCAAAUGAGUUCUGUAAGUCGUCAUUUUGACGAAUUAUCUUUACUCGGCCUCUUUGUAAGUUGUCUUAAAAUAUGCCAGUGCCGAAGGUGCCGAGUUACGCGAGUUCUACUGUAGUACCAUUAUAUCACAUAUAGCUUCUGCUUUUUCCGUGUGUUCCAUUUCUGGCUUCAACAACACUGGCAGUUACCAUGUUUGCGGAAUUCUGCCGCACAUAUCUUAUUUAGAUGUGGCAGCUUGACGUUCUUUGACCGUCUAUUACGAUAGCCAUCCUCACAUUCAUAGAAAUCAUGGUAUUGCAUUGUGAUGGGCUUGAUUUUAGUCCAAGAUUAUUUGCAGAGAUCUAGAAAAUCCUGAAAUGUACAAAUUGUACGUGGAGGCAACGUCCACACCCAAUCUACCGGAGAUGGCCUUGUGCCAUCAAAUAAUGUAAUUGCCAUCUUCUUUUACCGAUGCAAAUGUCUCAUAAAAGACAACUAAUCUAUACACAAAGAAGUGUUUUUUUAGACAAGAUUACUUUGAUAUCCAUAAAAACAGUCUCAGGUUGACUUUGUGGGGGGUGGGGACACUAUAACAACUGUAGUACCCCAUGAAUGACAAAACAACCCUGCUGCUCUUCUGGUCUUUCAAGUCUCAGGUUGACUUUGUGGGGGGUGGGCACACUAUAACAACUGUAGUACCCCAUGAAUGACAAAACAACCCUGCUGCUCUUCUGGUCUUUUAAGUCUCAGGUUGACUAUGUUGGGGGUGGGCACACAAUAACAACUGUAGUACCCCAUGAAUGACAAAACAACCCUGCUGCUCUUCUGGUCUUUUAAGUCUCAGGUUGACUUUGUGGGGGGUGGGGACACUAUAACAACUGUAGUACCCCAUGAAUGACAAAACAACCCUGCUGCUCUUCUGGUCUUUUAAGUCUCAGGUUGACUUUGUGGUGGGUGGGGACACUAUAACAACUGUAGUACCCCAUGAAUGACAAAACUACCCUGCUGCUCUUCUGGUCUUUUAAGUGUCAGGUUGACUUUGUGGGGGGUGGGCACACUAUAACAACUGUAGUACCCCAUGAAUGACAAAACAACCCUGCUGCUCUUCUGGUCUUUUCAGUCUCAGGUUGACUUUGUGGGGGGUGGGCACACUAUAAGUAUAACAACUGUAGUACCCCAUGAAUGACAAAACAACCCUGCUGCUCUUCUGGUCUUUUAAGUCUCAGGUUGACUUUGUGGGGGGUGGGGACACUAUAACAACUGUAGUACCCCAUGAAUGACAAAACAACCCUGCUGCUCUUCUGGUCUUUUAAGUGUCAGGUUGACUUUGUGGGGGGUGGGCACACUAUAACAACUGUAGUACCCCAUGAAUGACAAAACAACCCUGCUGCUCUUCUGGUCUUUUCAGUCUCAGGUUGACUUUGUGGGGGGUGGGCACACUAUAAGUAUAACAACUGUAGUACCCCAUGAAUGACAAAACAACCCUGCUGCUCUUCUGGUCUUAAGUCUCAGGUUGACUUUGUGGGGGGUGGGCACACAAUAACAACUGUAGUACCCCAUGAAUGACAAAACAACCCUGCUGCUCUUCUGGUCUUAAGUCUCAGGUUGACUUUGUGGGGGGUGGGCACACUAUAACAACUGUCGUACCCCAUGAAUGACAAAACAACCCUGCUGCUCUUCUGGUCUUUUAAGUCUCAGGUUGACUUUGUGGUGGGUGGGGACACUAUAACAACUGUAGUACCCCAUGAAUGACAAAACAACCCUGCUGCUCUUCUGGUCUUAAGUCUCAGGUUGACUUUGUGGGGGGUGGGGACACUAUAACAACUGUAGUACCCCAUGAAUGACAAAACAACCCUGCUGCUCUUCUGGUCUUUUAAGUCUCAGGUUGACUUUGUGGGGGGGUGGGGACACUAUAACAACUGUAGUACCCCAUGAAUGACAAAACAACCCUGCCGCUCUUCUGGUCUUAAGUCUCAGGUUGGCUUUGUGGGGGGUGGGCACACAAUAACAACUGUAGUACCCCAUGAAUGACAAAACAACCCUGCCGCUCUUCUGGUCUUAAGUCUCAGGUUGACUUUGUGGGGGGUGGGCACACUAUAACAACUGUAGUACCCCAUGAAUGACAAAACAACCCUGCUGCUCUUCUGGUCUUAAGUCUCAGGUUGACUUUGUGGGGGGUGGGCACACAAUAACAACUGUCGUACCCCAUGAAUGACAAAACAACCCUGCUGCUCUUCUGGUCUUUUAAGUCUCAGGUUGACUUUGUGGGGGGUGGGCACACUAUAACAACUGUAGUACCCCAUGAAUGACAAAACAACCCUGCUGCUCUUCUGGUCUUUUAAGUCUCAGGUUGACUUUGUGGGGGGGGGGGACACUAUAACGACUGUAGUACCCCAUGAAUGACAAAACAACCCUGCUGCUCUUCUGGUCUUUUAAGUCUCAGGUUGACUUUGUGGGGGGUGGGCACACUAUAACAACUGUCGUACCCCAUGAAUGACAAAACAUCUUGCUGCUCUUCUGGUCUUUUAAGUCUCAGGUUGACUUUGUGGGGGGUGGGCACACUAUAACAACUGUCGUACCCCAUGAAUGACAAAACAACCCUGCUGCUCUUCUGGUCUUAAGUCUCAGGUUGACUUUGUGGGGGGUGGGCACACUAUAACAACUGUCGUACCCCAUGAAUGACAAAACAACCCUGCCGCUCUUCUGGUCUUAAGUCUCAGGUUGACUUUGUGGGGGGUGGGCACACUAUAACAACUGUACUACCCCAUGAAUGACAAAACAACCCUGCCGCUCUUCUGGUCUUUUAAGUCUCAGGUUGACUUUGUGGGGGGUGGGCACACUAUAACAACUGUCGUACCCCAUGAAUGACAAAACAACCCUGCUGCUCUUCUGGUCUUUUAAGUCUCAGGUUGACUUUGUGGGGGGUGGGCACACUAUAACAACUGUCGUACCCCUUGCACUGAUAUUUUAAUUGCCUGUUUUACCAUAGUGAUAUAUGAUAUAUAUUAUGAAUAAAUUUAUAUAUAAAGUUA